AGGGUUCGAUUCUGGCUCAGGAUGAACGCUGGCGGCGUGCUUAACACAUGCAAGUCGAACGGGAUCCAUCAGGCUUUGCUUGGUGGUGAGAGUGGCGAACGGGUGAGUAAUGCGUGACCGACCUGCCCCAUACACCGGAAUAGCUCCUGGAAACGGGUGGUAAUGCCGGAUGCUCCAGUUGAUCGCAUGGUCUUCUGGGAAAGCUUUCGCGGUAUGGGAUGGGGUCGCGUCCUAUCAGCUUGACGGCGGGGUAACGGCCCACCGUGGCUUCGACGGGUAGCCGGCCUGAGAGGGCGACCGGCCACAUUGGGACUGAGAUACGGCCCAGACUCCUACGGGAGGCAGCAGUGGGGAAUAUUGCACAAUGGGCGCAAGCCUGAUGCAGCGACGCCGCGUGAGGGAUGGAGGCCUUCGGGUUGUAAACCUCUUUUAUCGGGGAGCAAGCGAGAGUGAGUUUACCCGUUGAAUAAGCACCGGCUAACUACGUGCCAGCAGCCGCGGUAAUACGUAGGGUGCAAGCGUUAAUCGGAAUUACUGGGCGUAAAGCGUGCGCAGGCGGUUCUGUAAGACAGAUGUGAAAUCCCCGGGCUCAACCUGGGAAUGGCAUUUGUGACUGCAGGACUAGAGUUCAUCAGAGGGGGGUGGAAUUCCAAGUGUAGCAGUGAAAUGCGUAGAUAUUUGGAAGAACACCAAUGGCGAAGGCAGCCCCCUGGGAUGCGACUGACGCUCAUGCACGAAAGCGUGGGGAGCAAACAGGAUUAGAUACCCUGGUAGUCCACGCCCUAAACGAUGUCUACUGGUUGUUGGGAAUUUAAUAUUCUUGGUAACGAAGCUAACGCGUGAAGUAGACCGCCUGGGGAGUACGGUCGCAAGAUUAAAACUCAAAGGAAUUGACGGGGACCCGCACAAGCGGUGGAUGAUGUGGAUUAAUUCGAUGCAACGCGAAAAACCUUACCUAGCCUUGACAUGCCGAGAAUCCCGAAGAGAUUUGGGAGUGCCCGUAAGGGAACUUGGACACAGGUGCUGCAUGGCUGUCGUCAGCUCGUGUCGUGAGAUGUUGGGUUAAGUCCCGCAACGAGCGCAACC
rnacentral:rRNA from 1 species